AGAUCUGGUCAUAAGAUCAAAUAUAUCAAAGGUGUUGAGAAAUAAAGCUGAAAUGUGGAAAUGGCAAAAUUGAUUAGUGGGCUGUUUGUCCUAAUGCUCCUUCAUCUUUGAUCGUUUUUAUACUUCUAUCUAUGUAUCCAACAACCAAAUUUUAUGCACCACAAAGACCUCUUUCACAUCCUGAGGAUCUUCUGAGUGUUGCCGUGCUUUUAUGGUUGCUGCAUCACUGACUUGGCUGAUGGUGUUGAGAACAGACUUAGAAAUGCAGAGGAGUCACAAUAAGCUGUGAACGGAAGGAUCUUUAACGAGCACCUUGGAGGAUAAGAUCUGAAUUUGAAUUGAUCUUAAGGUGAAGAAUUAGGUUCAAACAACCAAUGUAGGUAAGUGCAAAGAAAGAAACAUCAGAUAAUAUUUGGCAUGAGAGUUGGUCAGCAAAAACAGAUCUGGUGGCUGUAGUGUGUUGUAAAGCAAAUGUACAGAAUGUGUGCCAACAAGCAGUGUUGCUAGGAAAAAAAAAAAAGCUAUUUUUAGUUUGGGAGAUUAUUCAACAUGAGGGAAGAUAUUUUUCUGUCUUGGGAUUUGGUUCCUUCGUCUGGAAUAUCAGCUUGCAGUCCCGAGCUUCACCUGUUAAAACAGACACAAAGUAGUGACAGAAAUUAAAAAGCGAAAAAAAAAAAGGCAAAAAAAGUGGAAAUGAGGAGUUCAGCAAAUCUAACCUCUGAGGGAAGCUUGAAAAAAAUUAGAUUAAUUUACUCUAAGAAAAAAGGAAAAGAAGACGA